rnacentral:rRNA from 1 species
CCUACGGGAGGCAGCAGUGAGGAAUAUUGGUCAAUGGAGGCAACUCUGAACCAGCCAAGUAGCGUGAAGGAUGACGGCCCUAGGGGUUGUAAACUCCUUUUAUAGGGGAAUAAAGUGAGGCACGUGUGUCUGAUUGAGUGUACUCUAAGAAUAAGGAUCGGCUAACUCCGUGCCAGCAGCCGCGGUAAUACGGAGGAUCCGGGCGUUAUCCGGAUUUAUUGGGUGUAAAGGGAGCGUAGGUGGCUUGUUAAGUCAGUUGUGAAAGUCUGUGGCUCAACCGUAGAACUGCAAUGGAUACUGGCGGUCUUGAGUGCAGUGGAGGUAGGCGGAAUUCGUGGUGUAGCGGUGAAAUGCUUAGAUAUCACGAAGAACUCCGAUGGCGAAGGCAGCUUACUAGACUGUCACUGACAUUGAGGCUCGAAAGUGUGGGUAGCAAACAGGAUUAGAUACCCGUGUAGUC